UGAACGCUGGCGGUAUGCCUUAUACAUGCAAGUCGUACGAGAGUUUUUAACUCAAGUGGCGGACGGGUGAGUAACACGUAAGAAUUUGCCUUUAGGAGGGGGAUAACAACUGGAAACGGUUGCUAAUACCCCAUAUGCUUUCGAGUGAAAUGAAUUUAUUCGCCUAGAGAGAAGCUCGCGGCUGAUUAGCUUGUUGGUAAGGUAAUGGCUUACCAAGGCGACGAUCAGUAUCUGGUUUGAGAGGACGAUCAGACACACUGGAACUGAGACACGGUCCAGACUCCUACGGGAGGCAGCAGUGGGGAAUUUUGCGCAAUGGGCGAAAGCCUGACGCAGCAAUACCGCGUGAGGGAAGACGGCCUAUGGGUUGUAAACCUCUUUUUUCAGGGAGGAAUAAAUGACGUGUACCUGAAGAAUAAGCAUCGGCUAACUCC
rnacentral:rRNA from 1 species